rnacentral:rRNA from 1 species
UACGAAGGGGGCUAGCGUUGCUCGGAAUUACUGGGCGUAAAGGGCGCGUAGGCGGGUCGUUAAGUUAGAGGUGAAAGCCCAGGGCUCAACCCUGGAAUUGCCUUUAAUACUGGCGGCCUUGAGUAUGGCAGAGGUGUGUGGAACUCCGAGUGUAGAGGUGAAAUUCGUAGAUAUUCGGAAGAACACCAGUGGCGAAGGCGACACACUGGGCCAUUACUGACGCUGAGGCGCGAAAGCGUGGGGAGCAAACAGGG